GGCUUGUAGCUCAGUGGCAGAGCACUCACCUCACAUGUGGAAGGCACUAGGUUCGAACCUCAGCACCA
rnacentral:tRNA from 1 species